UACGGGGGGGGCAAGCGUUGUUCGGAAUUACUGGGCGUAAAGGGCUCGUAGGUGGCCAACUAUGUCAUACGUGAAAUCCCUCGGCUUAACCGGGGAACUGCGUCUGAUACUGGAUGGCUUGAGGUUGGGAGAGGGAUGCGGAAUUCCAGGUGUAGCGGUGAAAUGCGUAGAUAUCUGGAGGAACACCGGUGGCGAAGGCGGCAUCCUGGACCAAUUCUGACACUGAGGAGCGAAAGCCAGGGGAGCAAACGGG
rnacentral:rRNA from 1 species